GAUGAACGCUAGCGACAGGCUUAACACAUGCAAGUCGAGGGGCAGCACAGGUAGCAAUACCGGGUGGCGACCGGCGCACGGGUGAGUAACGCGUAUGCAACUUACCUAUCAGAGGGGGAUAACCCGGCGAAAGUCGGACUAAUACCGCAUGAAGCAGGGGUCCCGCAUGGGGAUAUUUGCUAAAGAUUCAUCGCUGAUAGAUAGGCAUGCGUUCCAUUAGGCAGUUGGCGGGGUAACGGCCCACCAAACCGACGAUGGAUAGGGGUUCUGAGAGGAAGGUCCCCCACAUUGGUACUGAGACACGGACCAAGCUCCUACGGGAGGCAGCAGUGAGGAAUAUUGGUCAAUGGCCGAGAGGCUGAACCAGCCAAGUCGCGUGAGGGAUGAAGGUUCUAUGGAUCGUAAACCUCUUUUAUAAGGGAAUAAAGUGCGGGACGUGUCCCGUUUUGUAUGUACCUUAUGAAUAAGGAUCGGCUAACUCCGUG
rnacentral:rRNA from 1 species